AAUGCAAUUGCUGGGUUGUAUGGUAAGUCCAUUUUGAAGGGAACUACAAAACUAUUUUCCAGAGUGGCUGUACCAUUUUACAUUCCCACCAGCAAU
rnacentral:pre_miRNA from 9 species